CAUCCUGCAAAGAGUCAGCUCAUUAACUUGACCACCUCUGUCCUCCUCUUCAAAUGUUUCUUGUUUACAGCCUCUCAGAUGGGAUUAGAAGGUCUCAGGACAUAUAUUUAGAUAUGUCAAAACCAAGAGACUUAUGAAAGCCUAGAAGCAGACAAGAUGCAUCUCACAGACAGUUGCUAGUGUUUCCUUGUUAAAUUCUUCAUUAUAGUUUAUGCCGUGUCAGUAGCUACAUGGUGAUAAAGCAAAUGACGCAGGUAUCCUGACAGCCAAUUUCAAUGACCAGAAGGCAGAAAAUGCCAAGUCCCCUUUCUUUAACAGCUAGACGAAUGAUGUUUGAUCAAAGAACAGAAUCUAAGCAUCAUGGUACUUACCUAGCCCAUCAUGAAUAGCCUCAGGAAAUAACUGGAACUCUCAGUUUUAUAAAGAGAUGUUCAAGACCAUUUAAUCUUUUUCAUUCCACUUGAAUUCUUAAGCCUUCCAAGACCAAUCACAGCAUGUGCAGGCAAAAUCCCAAGCAUUUAAAAUCAUGUACACAAAAAUAGAACUUGAGCAAUGCAUUUUCAGUCUUUAAUUCUUCAGUCCCUUUGACAAGGCUGCUUGCUGAGUCAGUUCUUGUAUUCUCUUAGCCUCACUGAUAGAGGCUUCUGGUUCCUGCAUGUGGCCAAAACAAACUGUGACAGCAGGCUUAAAGACAAAGCAGUGAAGUUUAGGACAUCAGUGGGCAUCUCAAUAUAUUUUCACAUUUACUUCCAGGACUCUGUGGCCCGGCUACUUGUUUGGAUUUGGGGAUGGGAUGGUAUUGCCUGGAAAGUUGGCUUCUGGGUCAUUGCUUGUACUGUUAAUGAAAAGUGCCACUUUCUUAAGAAUCACUCUAACUUCAUCCCAGGGAAUCAUUUUGUUGUCUCAGGAAGUUCACUGUGAUGGAGAUAAUGGGGCAAAUGUUUCAGGUUUCCAUAUGAAGAAUGCCAUGGCAGAGCUUUGAUGAGCCCAAGUUGCUAAAAGAAACAUUUAAGAUUUCAGACUUGCAGCUGUGUAAAAAGCCAUUGAUUCUGAUUGCUCUUAAAUUACAACAGAAAUGCUUGAAAGAAAUAAAUUUCCCUGGCUCUAAAUGAGCAUUUUAGAACCCCCAGCAGGAUUUUGAUGUUAGCUUACAGAAAAGCAAAUGUUUGCUCAGCUCCAUCUUCAAACACUUUCAGCAUUUUGACCACCGUAUGUAGCACUCAUCUGAAAUCUUCCUGAGCUACUUUUAACUACUUCACUUCCAUGGUAUAUUGAAAUGAAUUAUACAGGUAUGUGUGAUUCUUUUUGGCUGGUUUUUCUGCUAUCCCAUCUGAGAUCUGUGGGAUUCUUAACAGGUGAAAAUGGAUUUGGGACUAGAAGAGACCAAUUUGCACAUCAAGUUAUGACGUGCUCUAUAGUUGCAGCAACUGGGUAAUAUAUGCUUGGACCAUUAAAGGUCUGCAGCAUAUCCACUAUUUACAGUUCAAGAUCACACAGGUCAGGAAAUGUUCUCAAAAGCUCUGCUGCAACUGUGGUACAAAAGGCCAACAACCACAGGAGAAGAUCAGGGGAGAUGAAGGGGCUUGUCCUCACACUGUGCCAUUGUAAUGGCAGGGAGUAUUCAGGUGUCCAGAUGAUCUGAGAAAGGUCACAGAGGGUAGAGAAAUACUUGUAUAAUAUUUUCAUUCUGUGCAUUACAGCAGGAUUUGAGAUGUCACUUCUUAGAGAAAAUCACAUUAGGACAUAGAGUCCUUUAUUGAAAAUCAGAACAUUUGGAUCAUGCGUGUAGCUAAUUGAAGUGAUGUGCCCAGAAUAUUUUCCACUAUUCCUGUUUUACUUGACUGCACUUAAACCAAUUUUAUGUGCCCACCACACCAACAUCUUCAAAUGAGUAGUGCGUAUUUUAAUCCAGCAGGGUAAAACUGAUAGCUUUUAUAAUGACAAAAUUAUUAAUGCAAGUAUUAUAGAAAUGAAUAUAGUUACUGUAUUUCUUUGGAACAAAAUUAUUUUAGCAUUAACCCUAUGAUGGCAGGGCACAGCAGAUCACAAUAUCUUUGAUAUUAUUUUGAAUUUCAGUUUAAAAUCUAAUUCAUUGUAGGUGAACUCCUUAAGGGUUAGCUGCCAUAGUUUCCUUAUGCAAAUCACACUGCACCUCCCUGAUUAGUUGCUUGACCUUCUCUGUACUUACAAUUGAAACCAGAAUGUAAAUUUAAGAAAAAAGCUUUCUGUAAUUCAUUUGGAAAUGCAUGGCUUCUUGGGUCUGCCCAUUACAUGGUGCACUACAUAUUCUGCACAAACAUUGCAUACAGCUGCGAGAAAGAUGAGGAGCUGUGUUCUCCAAAACUGCUUGGUUACAUUGCAGGGGAAUGGGGUUACUCACUGCAUAAACCACUGCUCAGUGAGUUACAGCCUGGCCCUCAAACGAUAACUGUGUUUAUGCCUCAAAUUCCCCCCACGCACAUGGGGAGUGGGUAUUUGAUGACUCCUCGUCAGAGCAUGGCUCCAUCAGGGGGCUAGGGAGAAAGGUAUGGCUACAGCAGAAGUAAAUCAAUUGAAUGCCAUUUGGACAACGCAUCUUGUAUAUUCUUCAAUCAAAAGACUAAAUUAGGUAAGGUUAUUUGUUUGCUAAUCGUGUCCUAAAACAUGCUUGUAAGCUUUUAUUUUUAAUUGAAUUCAUUAUUAUAUUGCAAGAUAGCCAGUUUUAAAAUAAGGUGCUUAUUAAAUCUGGUAAACAUUGCAUUGUUGGGAGAAAUAGUUGUGUAAGCAAGACGUGUUUAGCAGCACUUUUAGAGAGUACAGAUAACUUCUGUUAGAGAGUUGGUGUGACUCAAACACAGAGUGGUGGACGCAGAGAAAACCGCCCCCAGGAGCCUUUCCACUGCACCUUUCUUUCUUCUUGAUUUUUCUUGACACAAAGCAGGAAACUUUCAACUGACAUUUCCAUGUCUGGGUGUCUAGGUGCUAGAAUAUCCUGAUGUCUCAGAGGAGAGUGCAGUUGUGUAGGGUUGCCUUUGUCCUCACUAGAUUGGAUCAUGAGGAGGUUUUCAGGUGACAAAAUGUGAUGUAACUGUAUUUGAGAAGGGACCAUCUUUCACAUGCUCAGGAGAAAAUCAACUGAAUUCUAAACUGGGAAAUUACUAUCCAUAUUUUAUUAGCCGAAGUAAUGAUAGAAGAGAGAGAUUUAGAUAGUACUGCCUAAAUCCCAAGGUAAUUUAUUCACUGGUUAACAAUGUUCAGUAGAAGAUACCUCUAGUAAGUAUGUAAAUCAAAGGAGAGGUAGGAGAGAAAAGCUGCAUAUCUUAUAUAAUAAGAUUGCUGAAUGGGAGUUACAGAUGUUUUAGCAUAAGUAUGAAAUUAUUGGAAUAAGUGAGACAUGGGUGAAUGAGAAAAAUGAUUGGGGAUUUAAAACAUCAAGAAAUUACUGAAAUGUACAAAAUGAACAAAGAGACGUGGGAAUGCUAUUGGUAAGGGCUUAUGGAGGCUUGCAUAGAAAUGAGAUAUAUAUAUGUUUGGAUGAUAUGGCAAGGACUCUGUGCAUUGAGGUUAAUGGUAAUGGAAGUAGACAAAUAGUUUUGGCCUUUUUCUCACUAGUCUCCAGUGAAUGAAAGUCAGAAAAAGGUUUUAUAAAUAUGAUUAAAAGGUUAAUGCAUUAAAUACUGAUUGAUACAGUGCAUGCUUAUGAAGGACAGAAUUCUUACACAGUUAUGUUCCUGGAAUUGUCAAUUCAGUGGGAAUAGCUGCAGAAUCAAAUACCACAGAGGAAGUGAAAUCGAUAAAACAUGCCCCAGUUUCUCAGAUGCAAAUUUAGUAUUAUCCUUAUCUGCUUGUUUAUGAAAACGUCAAUACACUAUAUUAAAACAGCUCCAAACCUGUAGCAAGCCACUGAAUGGCUUAGAGUAGGGAAAAGGUAUCCGAAUCAUGAAAGCUCCUGAGUUUCUGGCUCUUCUUGCUAAUAUUCAUGGUCAUGUUUCUCCCAGCAAAGAGCUUGAAAUUCGUGCUUCAAAUCUCUUAGUUUUCAAGUCUGGCAGGCACUUAAAAUAAUGCUAAUGCUAAUAACGGUAGCCUGUCUUCAUGUUACCUAGUUUGUCUCUUUAUCACUUGCUAGAGAAGUCAUCUUUUUA